CGCCCGCCGGCCGCUGCCCCCGCCGCUGCCAUGAGGAUCGCAGCCCAGGUGUGCUUGCUGGCUGUUCUCCACCUGAUUACUGCACCUGAGGCUGGCGCAUUCUUCUUGCCCUUCUGGUGUUUCAAGCUUGCGAGGAAGUGGCGCCUGGGGCUGUCCCUGCCCUGGCUAGGCGAGGAGGAUGGCCGGCACGAACACGUGCACUACCACAACCACAACCACAACCACAGGCACAGGCUUCCAGUGUCGCCGCGCCGGCCGUUCUUCAGAUAACCAAGGCACUGCGUCAACAGCUGAGCAGCAUUUGCCCGCCCAACUACGAGGCGGAUCGCAGCGCAGCGGCCGGGCGCCUUGCAGAGUGGCGGGAACCGAACCCGGGGCCCCACUCCUCCGUGUCCGCCUCAGAAGCAGGAGACUUCGCCAGCUGCGGCCCACUAGCGCUGCUGCCCUGCGGUUUUCCUGACCUGCGAGCCACGACGUCACACAGCGACUUACUGCCUGGUUUCCCUCUCCCGAAACGAACCCCGUACCUCGUGUCCGCAGAACAAAUCACAUAACUACAACUGAGAGAAAUCUCUCCCGCCGCGGCUGCAUUUACUGUGACCUUCACGCACGGAACGUAUCAGUACCAACAGGGAAUUUCACAGAAAAUGAUUCUAUAAAAGAUAACUAUUGAGAUAUGACUUAUAAGUCAGAGUUGCUCCCUGGAAUGCAUACCCGCCGUCUCCAAUCCGUAUUGAUUGUGCCUGCUAAUGACGACUCUCAUGUCGAGUCAAAUAUCGCCAGAACAUACUCUCUGGUGGAGCCUGUCCUCAAAUCCAAACCACUGUGACUUCUGAAGUACGCAUCAUCUCGUAUGAGAACAAGUAUAAUUCUGUUACAUGUGAUUGUCCCCUUCAGCUCACUACAAUGAUCAAUCAAAAGCUAACUCACAGUACACUGUCACUUGGUCAUGAUAGGCACUACGAAAAUUAAACUUUGAAGCUAGGAGCACUGGUACUUUACUCCUUGGGAAAAGGCACUAGUAUAUAAUUUCUCUGCUUCACUACACUGCAGACUUCAUUGCCUCUCUGAUAACAAUGUACGUCGGCCCAUUACAUCACUACUUAACGUACGCGAUGAGCUCAUCGAAACUUAUUCCCACUCUAACAAUACCACCACCUGUAAAGUAGGUUAGAAAUCAGAUUAAUAACGUUACUCACGCAGCAUAUGUUCGCUUUAUCGGGCAAACAACAAAGUUAUUGACUGUGGAUGGUAUCGUCAGAAUGAAAAUAAUGAAGUCACUGUAAAAAAUUCAUUAAUUUUGGCACUUAUCUUGAAUGGAUUCCCACGUAGAUUUCGUCGAAGUUGUAAUGGCUCAUCUUGUUGAUUCUAGGGUGAUUCCACUUUGACUGCUAGAAGGUCCAGAUCUGUAUUUUAGCAAUAUUUGAAGACCUAACAAAUGCGUUUUUCAGGAAAUUCUUAGUGAUCAAACAAUCCCAGAUCAGCACAAUGGUAUGGUAGAAAUAAUUUUUGACUUGGUGUUCACGAUCCACAUUUUUAUUAAACUUCUUGUAAAUUCACAUAUACUUCUUCUUAGUUGUCACACCAUCAAGAAAACAGUUUUGUAUCAAUCUUCAUAUAUCUCAUUUCCACUUUAAACAAACUCAAGGCUUGACUGUUCUUUUACAAAGCGAAAUAACAACUUAACUUCUGCAAAGUGAAACAAAGACUGCUCUGUGCGCAUUCGCGCCAAAACGGUUACAAGUAAUUCAAAGAUUAUGACAGUCUCACAGAAAUGAAUACACACAAGAAGCAUAUCACUGUAAUAUAUCGAUACAUCGGAGUACCUAUACAUUAAUAAAACCAAACGUGAAUAUUGUCACAAAAAAGUCUGUUACUUCGCAGAAAUGUAGUACGAUAUUACUGGUAUAUAGAACUGGGGUUGGAGUGCCGUAAUGGUCACGUACAUAAAGAACCAUUACACCACGCUGACGAUCUUUCAAUCGUCCAAACAGAUGGUACUGUCUCAGCAUUGUAUGUAAGAUGUGGCACCAAUACCGGUCCCACUUGGCCAACCUUUCGAACUGGGACUUGAUAACUUGAGUUGCAGGCCUGAUUACACUAUUGCGCGGUGACUCAUUGUCUUCAGACUGACACUCCUAUUUCGUUCCCACGGUGUGCUGAAGUUUGGUGAAGUCGUUGUUUGGUACUGUUUGUUUCAUAUCAAAGGAAUACGGCGCAAAUCGCUCUCCUGAGAUCACGAAAGAACGCCAACAAUUUGUUACGUUAUGUGUCAAGUUGCUAACUGUUCGGUGCCGUAUACACGUCUUCCUGUCCCUUUCGCCUUAGGGCUAGAGCGAGUCCUACAUUAAGUUUGCAGAUCGUCGUACACUUCCUUUCUAAUUGAAAUCAGUUCCUUACGAAGAGAAAUGUAAUUCAGUGUACACAAUCUUCUCCAUGUCCCAGUUGUUCGAUUUUCAUUGAAGUGAAUAUUUUCGCCAUUCCUACAUGCAUCACGAACUGUAUCAUACUUAUACAUUCGUAAUAUUGAUUGUCUUCACCAAUGAGUGACGCGUUUCAAGUUAUAAUGACUGUUGAUGGCUAUUCCUAGAUGCUAUAAUUACUGUGGUGAAACCUCUGAGGCCAUCGGAACACAGCACGUAGAUCCAAUGUGUUGUCGCCGUGGACUACUAAUAGCUUACUGUGAGCAGGUGUUUCUUAGUUAAGACCACAUUUAUAGAGAAGUUGCGCGAUAGGGUAGAAGAGUGUCGCAUUUAUCAUCCAUGAUGCCUCAGGUAAAACAACCAAAUUUGGUUUCGUGCAAGUAUGUUUCUACAUACAAAAUAUCGACUUCCGUGCUCUUACGGUAACAGACGUGCUUUAUGUAUGGUACUUUCUGAUGGGCUGUCUUAUAUUGUAGGGCAGAAGGACAAUUUCUGGUACAGCAAACGCCUUACACUGACCAAGAAAGUGUUUUUAAACACAUUAUUACGCUGACUUUAAUGUGGUGUACCUAGCAGUUUAGUUUUUUCCUCAAGCUAUACUUAUAAAAUUUCACACGCCUUGUGUCCCGAUCUGUAUUUACGUAUGCCAGUGUUAACGUGUACUGGUUUGAUCCCUGAAAAGAUUUCCAGCCCGAAGUGUAUGAUGAUUGCGGUCUAGAUUCUACGCUAUGUAAGAGUAUGAAAUUAGGUUGAGCUGCUAUUGUUCGAACAUACAGUUUGCAGUUCCGUGCAUACUCGAAGAUACGUGGUAGUAACGAGAGAGCAAAUGGUGAAGCUGCAAUAGGUUGUCUCAGGGCCGCAGUUGACCACGGAAAGAAGACAAAUGCGGAAACAGAUAGGGGAAGUCGCUGUGUUGAAUGAUGUAGUAGUAGUAUUGUGAUUAGGUAAAAGUGUCCCUGCAUAACAGUAGAAACGGAAAUGUUAUUGGUUUAUUUCGACCGUACUAUUGAGGAAAAUGUUGUAUGACAGAAAAUGUUUUGUAUGUAUGUGUGUGUGUGUUUGCCAUAAAUUACGAAUUGAUUAUAGUUAUAGGACUGAGAUCUGAAGACUUAGGGAACUCGUUAUGUACAAUGGCAUUCCUCAAGUUAAAAACAUAUAUUUUGUAAGUAAUUCAUGGUUCCUAAAUAAAAUAUUGCUA